AGUAGGUCUGGUUCAUCACACAACGGAGUGAAUCGAUUUAGUAUAUUCGGGUUAGCAACGAUGGCGUCGCUCGCUGUUCGCUUCGAAUUCAGAGAGGGUAGCAACGACAACAGUCGCUUGCUGAUCAAGGGAUAGCAACGACGAUAAUCACUCGCUAAUCAAGAAAGGCGAACCAAGAAGAGAAUGCUUUGAAUUGUAAUACAUUCUUCUCAAUAAAAGGUAUUUAAAGGUGUACAACCCUAACAUAAAUGGAAAUAGAACUAAUUACAAGUGAUUACAUGAGAAUACACGGGAUUACAUGUCAAUUAGGGAUCCUACUAAAAAUACAAAAGUCAACAAAAAAUCCCUUGCACGCUUUUACUCAACAACAAUUAUGGGCAAUUAUUUUUAUUCUUAAGUUUUAUUAAUAUUAAGGAGGGGGGAGAAUUUGAAACCAGUACAAUAAUUUAGAGGAGGGGAGAAGAUUCAAAACUAUUACAAUAAUUCAAUAUUACUCUUCCUUGUAAUAAUAAUAGAUUUUUAACUGCAAUAUAUUCGAAGCUUAAAGAAGAAAGGCCACUAUACGUACAAUCUAUACUUGCAAGUGUUGGUUCUUCAGUUGACAUAGUUGUAUAACUUAUACGACAAGAAAUAUCAAACUUCGAUCCCAUAACACAUAGAGAUUGUCACGAUGUUAGCAUUUCAAAUAUGUCAAUGACAUUUGACAAUGGGCACCAACAUACUCUGGGCAAGGGAAGCUGAGCGUAACACAAGAUUUAUAAACAAGCUUAGUUUAUUUAUUAUGGACUAGCUAGGGGAAACCAAAUUUUUUUUUUUUUAACAAACGAUGUGGUUCAAAUUCGUCUUUGGCAAUAAUUGAACUUAAGACCUCUUACUUACAAGCAGUGGCGAAGCUAUGUGAGGGUGAGGAGUGGUGGUCGUCCCUCCCCUCGCCUGAAAACACACCUAGAGUGCCAGUUUAGCUCUUCCGCUUUCGCCGAAAAUGAGAAUUCUCGAUAUGGUGAUCUCCUGCAGUAGAGUUGGUUUUUUUUUUAAUUAUUUUUUACAUAUUUUGAAACCCUAAUAACACCCUUUAUUCAUCACUUUGUCGCACUCAAAUCUCACCCUAAAAUAAGAAACCAGAUGUGUACAUCCAAGAAUGUCCAAACAACCUAGAUCAUCCACACACCCAUCCAUGCCACCCCAACGACUUUCUCUUUUGGAAUUUAACUACGGAAUCCGACCUUCUGCACUCCUACCUAAUGCAGUGGACCAAGAUUAAGACUGCUUUUGUCAACAAGUCCGCUCGCCGCUAGAUUAGAACUUGACGAGCUAUGUGAUGGUGGCUAUGGGGACAAAGGGAUUGGGAAAAAAAGGCUUCAGAUGAAAGGGGAGAAGUGGCUUUGGAAAUAACGAUCUUAUAAAAAGUUUUGGAAAUAAUGAUCUCAUAAAAAGCUUUGUUUAUGGAUAUAUUUAAUUAGAUAAACUUAAUUUUCAAUAAUUAUAACAUAAAAAUAAUUUAUUUAAACAAGGACAAUUUAUUAAUCAAGCUAGUUUUAAUUCUGAUUCUAGUGAACUAGUAAACAAUAUAUAUGGAACUAAUUUCAUUUGUAUUUUGAUUCCAGUUAGUUUAGUAAACAACUUUAACAGGAAUCUAAUUAUGUUUCAUCCUUAAUCAAAUUCCUCCUCAAUUCAAUUCCCUUCAAUCUGAUUACUGAUUCGUAAACGCGGCCCUAAAGUGUUUGGUUGCUAGAAUAGUAGAUCUGUUGCUGUUUGGUUAGAGAGUUAAGAAUGACAACUAUUGUAAUUUUAUUGGGCCACAAAGUCUAGUGAGUAAAAUUGGUACUAAAUGGUGAGUACUCAAGUAUUGUCUUUUUUUCUUUUUCUUCUUCUUCUUUUAAGAUCCCUACCGUGUUUAUCUUAAACUCUCAUAUUAUCUAUAAAUAUUGUAUUACUUUUUAAAAAAUAAUGUAAAUAUUGUUUAAUGCUUAUUUUACGAUAAAAGAAAUUCAUUUAAAUCCAUCUAGGCUCCUGCCUAGAUCUCGCCUAGGUGCCUAGCUACUAGGCUCCAGCCUACCUGACUAGCGUUUUUUUUUAGAAUAUAAUCCUAGGCAAUUUAAGCAUAUUACAUUGACUUUGAUAUUACUGCUUACAACCGCUUUGGUGAAGAGACUAUUUUCUGCUAUGAAUAUUAACUCAAAACUUUGCACUCUUCAAUAUAAAAGCAACCGCUUCGAUUGAACCUUGCACUCUUUUGAAUUUUGCCCCUCCCCACAGCAAAUUCUGGCUUCGCCACUGCUUGCAAGUGAAGAGAAAUACCACUAGACCGUAGUAUUAAGUGGCAGGGAAACAUAAUUAAUUAAAUAGAUUUUUCUUUGGGUUUGGAAGUAAAUGAAGUCUUAGUCUUGUAAUAUUCUUUGCUAGGAUAUAAUCUUUUAAAUUAGAUAUAUUUAUCAUUCAUUUUCUUUCUUUUUUACUGGGGGAUCAAAGGAUUAGAGAUAGUCUAAUAUUUUAUGUGACAUCCCACAUCGUUAAGGGGAGUGGAUCCUCUAAGCCUUAUAUGUAUAUUCCCAUCUCUACCUAGCAUGAGGCCUUUUGGGAGCUCACCGGCUUUAGAUUCUUUAGGAACUCCGAAGUUAAGUGAGUUCACGUAAGAGCAAUCUCAUGAUGGGUGACCCACGGGGAAGUUCUCGUGUGAGUUCCCAGAAACAAAACCAUGAGGGCGUGGUCGGGGCCCAAAGCAGACAAUAUCGUGCUACGGUGGAGUCAGGCUUGGGAUGUGGUGGGGGCCCAGGCCGAGAUGUGACAAUUUGGUAUCAGAGCCAAUCCCUGGCCGGAAGUGUGCCGAUGAGGACGUCAGACCCUUAAGGGGGGGUGGAUUGUGACAUGCCACAUCGCCCAGGGGAGUGGAUCCUCUAAGCCUUAUAUGUAUAUUCCCAUCUCUACCUAGCACGAGACAUUUUGGGAGCUCAUUGGCUUCGGAUUCCUUAGGAACUGCGAAGUUAAGCGAGUUCGCAUGAGAGCAAUCUCAUAAUGGGUGACCCACUGAGAAGUUCUCAUGUGAGUUCCCAGAAACAAAACUGUGAGGGUGUGGUCGGGGCCCAAAGCUAGGCUUGGCAAACGGGUCGUGUCUGUCGUGUUCGUGUAACACCUGUUAUCUUAACGGGUCGUGUCGUGUCACACCCAUUAU
rnacentral:lncRNA from 1 species